rnacentral:SRP_RNA from 1 species
GGCUGGGUCCUGCGCAACUUGAAGUUACCGAACCCCGUCAGGUCCGGUAGGAAGCAGCGGUAAGUAAUCUCUCAGGUGUGCCGCAGGGGCGCCUGGCUGGA